GCGGGUAUAGCUCAAUGGUAGAGCGCUGUCCUUCCAAGUCAGAUGUUGCGCGUUCGAAUCGCGUUACCCGCC
rnacentral:tRNA from 1 species